CCAAUAGCGUAUAUUAAAGUUGUUGCAGUUAAAAAGCUCGUAGUUGAAUUUCGGGGUUAGUAGGCUGGUCAUGCCUCUGGUAUGUACUGGUCUCACUGAUUCCUCCUUCCUGAUGAGCUGUAAUGCCAUUAAUUUGGUGUUGCAGGGAAUCUGGACUGUUACUUUGAAAAAAUUAGAGUGUUUAAAGCAGGCUAACGCUUGAAUACAUUAGCAUGGAAUAAUGAACUAGGACGUUCGAUCCUAUUUUGUUGGUUUCUAGGAUUGACGUAAUGAUUAAUAGGGAUAGUUGGGGGCAUUAGUAUUCAAUUGUCAGAGGUGAAAUUCUUGGAUUUAUUGAAGACUAACUACUGCGAAAGCAUUUGCCAAGGAUGUUUUCAUUAAUCAAGAACGAAAGUUAGGGGAUCGAAGACGAUCAGAUACCGUCGUAGUCUUAACCAUAAACUAUGCCGACUAGGGAUCGGAUGAUGUUAAUUUUUUAAUGACUCAUUCGGCGCCUUACG
rnacentral:rRNA from 1 species